rnacentral:rRNA from 1 species
CCUACGGGAGGCAGCAGUGGGGAAUAUUGGGCAAUGGGCGCAAGCCUGACCCAGCAACGCCGCGUGAAGGAAGAAGGCUUUCGGGUUGUAAACUUCCUUUCUCAGGGACGAAGCAAGUGACGGGACUUGAGGAAUAAGCCACGGCUAACUACGGGCCAGCAGCCGCGGCAAUACGUGGGUGGCAAGCGUUAUCCGGAUUUACUGGGGGUAAAGGGCGUGUAGGCGGGAAAGCAAGUCAGAGGGGAAAACCAUGGGCUCAACCUGCGGCCUGCAUUUGAAACUGUUUUUCUUGAGUACUGGAGAGGCAGGCGGAAUUCGUAGUGUAGCGGUGAAAUGCGUAGAUAUUAGGAGGAACACCAGUGGCGAAGGCAGUUUGCUGGA